UUAUGAACUUGUUUUUUUCUUCUUCAUUCCCUUUUCUUUUGAUCCACGAAUGAAUGAUUAUCAAUGAAAUUGUGUGUACACCGGGUCACAAUCAUUACUAUUCAAAAAUUUGCUUCAACUUAUUAUAUUAUGAUGAUGAUAAUGACGAUAAUUUUACUUUUACUUCUGUAUUCAUUCAUGUCACAAUGAUUUUAUCUGACAAUGUCAUUUUGUGACAAACGCCAUAUAAUAUAUAUAUGAAGAUUAUGUCAAGAAUUGUUAUUAUUGUUUUUGGAUCCCAACAACGACUACGGUGACGAACAAUGACAAUACAACAAUCUUGAAAUCUACAAGUAAAGAAAAAGUCCUGAAAUUGGUUAUUGUGUGUGUGUUUUUUUUGGUUGUUUAUCAAGAAAAAAAACAACAGUUAUAUUUACAUUGUCUGGCGCCAAUUACACAUUGUAUUUGUAGUAACAAUAACAACACAAUCGACUCGACAUUGAUAAAAUCCAUCAGGUUGGAAUUGUUUUACUCUCUCUCUCUCCAUCUCCUUCAAUUGGCUUUUCCCAUCAUUUCAUUGUAUGCGCGUGUGAAUGACAAUUCCAUAGUGAUGAUUAUAAAUCAUAUUUUUGAUGAGAUUAAACAACAAUAACAUUUAAUAACACUGUAUAACCUCCUUAGUGUUAUUGUGAAUCAAGAUGCAUUCAAUGAAUAGUUUGGAUAAUAAUUAUCACAAUCAUGCUGCCAAUAAUAAUGACAAUAAUUGUCGUGGCCAUAAUCAAUCAUUAAUUCGAUCAUCUUUAUCUGAUUCUGAUCUAAUUGCAUCGUCAUCAUCAUUAUCACCACCGCCACAAUCAUCAUCAUUAGCCAAUCAGAAUACCAUAUCAUUAUGUCGUGAUUUACAAGUAUUGAUUCUAGAUGAUAUUGACAAUCAUCAUAAUAAUGAUGAUGAUGAUGAUGAAAAUUCAUCAGCCAUAUUUCAAUCAAUUUCGUGUG